rnacentral:rRNA from 1 species
UGGGGAAUAUUGCACAAUGGGCGCAAGCCUGAUGCAGCCAUGCCGCGUGUGUGAAGAAGGCCUUCGGGUUGUAAAGCACUUUCAGCGAGGAGGAAGGUGGUGAGCUUAAUACGCUCAUCAAUUGACGUUACUCGCAGAAGAAGCACCGGCUAACUCCGUGCCAGCAGCCGCGGUAAUACGGAGGGUGCAAGCGUUAAUCGGAAUUACUGGGCGUAAAGCGCACGCAGGCGGUUUGUUAAGUCAGAUGUGAAAUCCCCGGGCUCAACCUGGGAACUGCAUUUGAAAACUGGCAAGCUAGAGUCUCGUAGAGGGGGGUAGAAUUCCAGGUGUAGCGGUGAAAUGCGUAGAGAUCUGGAGGAAUACCGGUGGCGAAGGCGGCCCCCCUGGACGAAGACUGACGCUCAGGUGCGAAAAGCGUGGGGCAGCAAACAGGAUUAGAUACCCCUGGUAGUCCAGCGCUGUAAAACGAUGUCGAUUUUGGAGGUUGUGCCCUUGAGGCGUGGCUUCCGGAGCUAACGCGUUAAAUCGACCGCCUGGGGAGUACGGCCGCAA